AUUGAACGCUGGCGGCAUGCCUUACACAUGCAAGUCGAACGGCAGCGGGGACUUCGGUCCGCCGGCGAGUGGCGAACGGGUGAGUAAUGUAUCGGAACGUACCUUUCAGUGGGGGAUAACGUAGCGAAAGUUGCGCUAAUACCGCAUAUUCUGUGAGCAGGAAAGCAGGGGAUCGCAAGACCUUGCGCUGAUUGAGCGGCCGAUAUCAGAUUAGCUAGUUGGUGAGGUAAAGGCUCACCAAGGCGACGAUCUGUAGCGGGUCUGAGAGGAUGAUCCGCCACACUGGAACUGAGACACGGUCCAGACUCCUACGGGAGGCAGCAGUGGGGAAUUUUGGACAAUGGGGGCAACCCUGAUCCAGCCAUGCCGCGUGAGUGAAGAAGGCCUUCGGGUUGUAAAGCUCUUUCGGCCGGGAAGAAAUCGCAUGGGUUAAUACCCUGUGCGGAUGACGGUACCGGCAUAAGAAGCACCGGCUAACUACGUGCCAGCAGCCGCAGUAAUAC
rnacentral:rRNA from 1 species